rnacentral:tRNA from 1 species
GCCAUUUUAGCUCAGUUGGUAGAGCACAUCACUCGUAAUGAUGAGGUCGUCGGUUCGAUUCCGACAAAUGGCU